UACGAAGGGGGCUAGCGUUGUUCGGAAUUACUGGGCGUAAAGCGCGCGCAGGCGGUUCUUCAAGUCAGAGGUGAAAGCCCAGAGCUCAACUCUGGAAUGGCCUUUGAGACUAGAGAACUAGGGUACGGGAGAGGUGAGUGGAAUUCCGAGUGUAGAGGUGAAAUUCGUAGAUAUUCGGAAGAACACCAGUGGCGAAGGCGGCUCACUGGCCCGGUACUGACGCUGAGAUACGAAAGCGUGGGGAGCAAACAGG
rnacentral:rRNA from 1 species